AGUGAACGCUGGCGGUAGGCCUAACACAUGCAAGUCGAACGGCAGCACAAUAAGAGCUUGCUCUUACGGGUGGCGAGUGGCGGACGGGUGAGGAAUACAUCGGAAUCUACUUUUUCGUGGGGGAUAACGUAGGGAAACUUACGCUAAUACCGCAUACGACCUACGGGUGAAAGCAGGGGAUCUUCGGACCUUGCGCGAUUGAAUGAGCCGAUUUCGGAUUAGCUAGUUGGCGGGGUAAAGGCCCACCAAGGCGACGAUCCGUAGCUGGUCUGAGAGGAUGAUCAGCCACACUGGAACUGAGACACGGUCCAGACUCCUACGGGAGGCAGCAGUGGGGAAUAUUGGACAAUGGGCGCAAGCCUGAUCCAGCCAUACCGCGUGGGUGAAGAAGGCCUUCGGGUUGUAAAGCCCUUUUGUUGGGAAAGAAAAGCAGCAGGUUAAUACCCCGCUGUUCUGACGGUACCCAAAGAAUAAGCACCGGCUAACUUCGUG
rnacentral:rRNA from 1 species